ACACGGAUUACUACACUCUCAACAGAGCUUUGAUGUUUCACGAUGCUACUGAAAAUCCAGUCACGAUAUUUACGAGAAACACAGCCCGGAGCGCAGUUGGAAACUCGAGCAAAUUAAUCUUCUCUUGUUUACCAGCAAAGCUACACACGCAUUUGAAGGCUCCGUCUUCAACAGCAUUCAACAAAAGUAACCAAGCUAGCAGACUGACCAAACAAACAGCCAUUCCAAAUGCCAAGCGCAGUUCUCUAUGCCUAUGGAGCGAAGAAAGACCGGAUUGUUUUUGCACAACAGAAGUGGCCACGUUUAAGUUGCCAGCUGUAAAGCAGCAAAGCAAUUUAUAAUGCAACAUCAUAUAUCCACAUACUCUAACCUCGCCGCGCACGUUCAAACCUUGGCCAGCACGCUGAUAAAAUCACACUCCUUCAGCUACAGUACAUACAUGGAAAUCUGGGAGGAAAGUAUGUAUUCCAUUUAGACGUCAAAG